rnacentral:rRNA from 1 species
CCUACGGGGUGCAGCAGUGGGGAAUAUUGCACAAUGGGGGGAACCCUGAUGCAGCGACGCCGCGUGGGUGAAGGAGUGCUUCGGCAUGUAAAGCCCUAUCGGCAGGGAAGAAGCAAGACGGUACCUGACUAAGAAGCCCCGGCUAACUACGUGCCAGCAGCCGCGGUAAUACGUAGGGGGCGAGCGUUAUCCGGAUUCACUGGGUGUAAAGGGAGCGUAGACGGCCAUGCAAGCCAGGGGUGAAAGCCCGGGGCCCAACCCCGGGACUGCCCUUGGAACUGGGCGGCUAGAGUGCGGGAGGGGCAGGCGGAAUUCCUGGUGUAGCGGGGAAAUGCGUAGAUAUCAGGAGGAACACCGGCGGCGAAGGCGGCCUGCUGGACCGCGACUGACGUUGAGGCUCGAAAGCGUGGGGAGCGAACAGGAUUAGAUACCCUUGUAGUC